UGCCAGACUCCUACGGGAGGCAGCAGUGAGGAAUAUUGGUCAAUGGUCGUAAGACUGAACCAGCCGAGUAGCGUGCAGGAUGACGGCCCUAUGGGUUGUAAACUGCUUUUAUGCGGGGAUAAAAUGCGUCACGUGUGAUGUUUUGUAGGUACCGCAUGAAUAAGGACCGGCUAAUUCCGUGCCAGCAGCCGCGGUAAUACGGAAGGUCCGGGCGUUAUCCGGAUUUAUUGGGUUUAAAGGGAGCGUAGGCCGCAUGUUAAGCGUGCCGUGAAAUGCCGUGGCUCAACCAUGGCACUGCGGCGCGAACUGGCUUGCUUGAGUGCGCGGAACGUAUGCGGAAUUCGUGGUGUAGCGGUGAAAUGCUUAGAUAUCACGAAGAACUCCGAUUGCGAAGGCAGCAUGCCGGCUCCACACUGACGCUGAGGCACGAAAGCGUGGGUAUCGAACAGGAUUAGAUACCCGUGUA
rnacentral:rRNA from 1 species